ensembl:lncRNA
CUCGGAGAGAGAAGCGCCCGAGGUCGUCCCGGGAGACGCCGAGGACGCUGGGACGCGGGGCCGCGCUCCCGGCGCGCGAGGCGCAACUACCGCUUGCCCUCCGCGGGUCCCCGCCUUACCGGAUCCGCCCAGCCCUCCCCGGUCCGCCCCGCCCCCGGGUCCUAGGCGGACCCGGCCCGCGCCGUCCGGGCGUCGUGCGCAGGCGCGGCUUGAACGUCGGGGGCCCGAGCGAAUCAGAACGUCUGAUUCUGGAGCUCCAGGGCCGUUAGUCGGUCCCAGCGAGGGGCGCCUUGGGCCUUAGGCACUCUGUAGAGGAUGCUUGACUUGAUGCCACUGAAAUGUAACUGCUCCUGUGAAAAAAGAUCGUUUAGUCCUAAGGAAUAAGAUUUAUAUGAGGAAAAGAGAGGCCUGGAAGAAUAUGAUGCCUUGGCCAAGGCCUUGCAGGGUUUCAUAGAGAACUGCUCCUUCCUUCACAUACUUCUUAGUACUGUUAUUGGUGAAAGAGAAACAGAAAUUGCUGUCCAGCACCUCUUCUGAUGUCUCCCGUUUUGAUGCGUUUAGAAACAAAUUCCAUAGAAAGUGGCCCUGACUGCAGAGGAAAUAACAGGUACAUUACUUGAACACUUUAUGUGUGCAGGGCAGCUUGCUAGAUGCCUUGGAGACACCAGACACACGUAUUUGUAAGUACAAUAAAGUAAAAUGAAGUCGC